rnacentral:rRNA from 1 species
CGCGCAGGCGGUUUGAAUAGUCAGAUGUGAAAGCCCACGGCUUAACCGUGGAAGUGCAUUUGAAACUGUCAGACUUGAGUACCAGAGGGGAAAGUGGAAUUCCCGGUGUAGAGGUAAAAUUCGUAGAUAUCGGGAGGAAUACCGGUGGCGAAGGCGACUUUCUGGCUGGAUACUGACGCUGAGGCGCGAAAGCGUGGGGAGCAAACA